GUGCCAGCAGCCGCGGUAAUACGUAGGUGGCAAGCGUUGCCCGGAUUUAUUGGGCGUAAAGCGAGCGCAGGCGGUUAGAUAAGUCUGAAGUUAAAGGCUGUGGCUCAACCAUAGUACGCUUUGGAAACUGUUUAACUUGAGUGCAAGAGGGGAGAGUGGAAUUCCAUGUGUAGCGGUGAAGUGCGUAGAUAUAUGGAGGAACACCGGUGGCGAAAGCGGCUCUCUGGCUUGUAACUGACGCUGAGGCUCGAAAGCGUGGGGAGCAAACAGGAUUAGAUACCCCGGUAGUCC
rnacentral:rRNA from 1 species